rnacentral:rRNA from 1 species
CCUACGGGUCGCAGCAGUGAGGAAUAUUGCCCAAUGGACGAAAGUCUGAGGCAGCAACGCCGCGUGAGCGAUGAAGGCCUUCGGGUUGUAAAGCUCUUUUCUGGGGGACGAGGAAGGACGGUACCUCAGGAAUAAGUCACGGCUAACUACGUGCCAGCAGCCGCGGUAAUACGUAGGUGGCGAGCGUUAUCCGGAUUUACUGGGCGUAAAGCGCGUGUAGGCGGUUUCGUAAGUCGGAUGUGAAAGCUCCUGGCUCAACUGGGAGAGGCCAUUCGAUACUGCGGGACUUGAGGACGGGAGAGGGACGUGGAAUUCCCGGUGUAGUGGUGGAAUGCGUAGAUAUCGGGAGGAACACCAGUGGCGAAGGCGACGUCCUGGCCCUCACCUGACGCUAAGACGCGAAAGCGUGGGUAGCGAACGGGAUUAGAUACCCUUGUAGUC